CGAUCAGUAGCCGACCUGAGAGGGUGAUCGGCCACAUUGGAACUGAGACACGGUCCAAACUCCUACGGGAGGCAGCAGUGGGGAAUAUUGCACAAUGGGCGAAAGCCUGAUGCAGCAACGCCGCGUGAGGGAUGAAGGCCUUCGGGUCGUAAAACUCUGUCCUCAAGGAAGAUAAUGACGGUACUUGAGGAGGAAGCCCCGGCUAACUACGUGCCAGCAGCCGCGGUAAUACGUAGGGGGCUAGCGUUAUCCGGAUUUACU
rnacentral:rRNA from 1 species